UGGGGAAUAUUGCACAAUGGGCGAAAGCCUGAUGCAGCAACGCCGCGUGAGGGACGACGGCCUUCGGGUUGUAAACCUCUUUUAGCAAGGAAGAAGCGAAAGUGACGGUGCUUGCAGAAAAAGCGCCGGCUAACUACGUGCCAGCAGCCGCGGUAAUACGUAGGGCGCAAGCGUUAUCCGGAAUUAUUGGGCGUAAAGAGCUCGUAGGCGGUUUGUCGCGUCUGCUGUGAAAACCCGAGGCUCAACCUCGGGCCUGCAGUGGGUACGGGCAGACUAGAGUGCGGUAGGGGAGAUUGGAACUCCUGGUGUAGCGGUGGAAUGCGCAGAUAUCAGGAAGAACACCGAUGGCGAAGGCAGAUCUCUGGGCCGUAACUGACGCUGAGGAGCGAAAGGGUGGGGAGCAAACAGGGCUUAGAGUGACCCCUAGGUCAGUCCACCCCGU
rnacentral:rRNA from 1 species